UAGUCAUAUGCUUGUCUCAAAGAUUAAGCCAUGCAUGUCUAAGUAUAAACAUUUAUACUGUGAAACUGCACAUGGCUCAUUAAAUCAGUUAUAGUUUAUUUGAUGGUACCUUACUACAUGGAUAACCGUAGUAAUUCUAGAGCUAAUACAUGCGCAAAGUCCCGAGCCCCCGCGGCCAGGGAUGUAUUUAUUAGAUAAAAAACCAAUGCUGGCUCUGUCAGCUUGUUUGAUGAUUCAUAAUAACUCUACGAAUCGCAUGGCUUCACGCCGGCGAUAGG
rnacentral:rRNA from 1 species